GGCCCGUCGCCAUGUUGUUCCCUCCGCGCUGGACGGGAGCAGCUGGACCUGGAACCUGGCUGCGCUACCGCCGCUGCCUCCUGCUGUGCAGGUCCCCGACCCUCUCUCUGCCCUCAUUGCACCCAGACGGGCCGGCCCAGAGCUCCCGACUCGUCUUCCGUGUGGUUGCGAGACACUCUUGCACUCCUGUAAUGAGCCUGGCACUGUGAUGAAACACUUUUCCUCUGUUGUUUGAGUGCAUCUUCUCAACAACCCUAGGAGAACCUUCAAGGGACAUCACUUACCAGAUUCAAGCUUUGCCAGCUUAGCUUUCCUCAUGAUCAACUCCUAUCUAUCAGCUGUCAGUUCUACCCACGUGCCCAAGUGCUCUUCACACCUUCAUGCCUGCAAUGCUUUCCUGUGCAGCCUACCUUGGAGGUCCCACUCAAUGCUCCACUUCCCUUCCAGCUCCUUUAAAGACUCAGUCACACAUGAAAUUUGGCAUUUAACUUUAGUAAUAUACUCACAAGUGUGUUAAUAGUUCUUACCUCACCUUCACCAGCCUGGAGAAAAGGCUAUUUUCAGGGUACCACUGUUGUGCAGCUGAGCCAAGUCUUCCCGCUCUCAAUCACCCUGCUGCUCUUGGUUGGCCUGCAUCACAGCCCUCUGGAUGAUAUGCUCAUUGAGGGUGGGGCCAACUAUAUUCCAAAAAAUACUCGUUUGCUGAAAUUACUCCUAGAUUUCUAGAUGAGUAUGUAAAUUUUUCUGCUCCCAAAGCUCUGGCAUCUAGUUUGAGUCAAUCUGAGCUCUGUAACAGGUGAAGACAUCAUAUUAGUUUGCAGACUAUCAAUAGGAGAGAUAGGACGAAAGCAGCACUUUAAAAAUGGAUAUUAAACUACCACAAUCUUGAAAAAACAUCUUUAUUUAAGAAAUCAAAUAGGGUAAAAAUGAUGCAAUUUCACACAAGGAUACAAGACAAAGCUUAGAAUUACUUGCUCAAAAGUUACUCAGAAUGGAACAAAAUUGUUCAAGUGCUCCAAAUUAGCAUAGGUUGUAUUACUUGCUUUCCAAUGGACAUUUACUAUUUUACAGUAAGAUCUACUUAUCAUAGGAACAAAAAGAAAAUUCCCAGCCCCCUCUGGUGUGUAACUUAAAAGGCUGAGUACAAAUGUUAAUGUAAUCCAAACUUUUCUUUGACAACAAUACUAAAAAUUAUAUUACAACUUUUUAUGAGUAGCAACAGUUUACUGUCUGAAGGAAAGGAAAUGUAAGAAUAUAAAGUGACAGAAGCAACACACUUCACUGUGGCCUGCAACUGCUCCCAGCCUCCUAUUUUAUAAACAUGAUUUGGGUUCUCACAUUAUAGCAGGAUCACUAUUCCUAGCCUCUGGCAGAAGCAGACAUGUGACACUUAGCACUGCACAAGUGUUUCUUUGGCUUCUUGAGUAGUGCUGUGUAUACUGCCUAUACAUUUUUAUAACAUCUCUAAAUGCAUAACAUCAAUGUAUGUGCUAUCACAUUUCACUCUCAACUGCAGAACAUUUUAAUUUUAAAUUUAUCUACCAAAUCUUGACUAUGACAUUUAUUUUUGGGUUGUUACGUUAAGAUCAACCUAUCUGGGCCAGGCACGGUGGUUCACACCUGUAAUCCCAGCACUUUGGGAGGCUGAGGCAGGAGAA